CACGUAGGGCGCAAGCGUUGUCCGGAAUUAUUGGGCGUAAAGAGCUCGUAGGUGGUUUGUUACGUCUGCUGUGAAAACCUAGGGCUUAACCCUGGGCUUGCAGUGGAUACGGGCAGACUAGAGGUAGGUAGGGGAGAAUGGAAUUCCUGGUGUAGCGGUGAAAUGCGCAGAUAUCAGGAGGAACACCGAUGGCGAAGGCAGUUCUCUGGGCCGUAACUGACGCUGAGGAGCGAAAGCGUGGGGAGCGAACAGG
rnacentral:rRNA from 1 species